CUGAUGCCAAAUUCCUGCUUACCUGGCCUCCCUUCCCUUCGAUUGAGCAGUUAUUUGACAGAAUCUACCCAUUGUGGCCUAGUUGUAGAAACAGCUUCAUAGCAGAACUUGUGUAGGGAGUCAAGUCAUGGAAACUGGGUGCCCAAAGCAUUACGGAAUCAUGAGACAAGAAGAGGGAGAGUUGCAACAGUUUAUAGAAGGUUGAAAGUGAAACUGGAAAGAAUCAGCACUGAAAAGAGACGUUUUUGACUUCAGGCUAGUGCCCAAGCCUCAGUUUAGUUAAUCCUGGUCUUAUCCAGGCUAAAACACAGACUGACGUCACAACUUUGGAAUCCCUGGGAGCUGGCAAGCCCUGGUCCAAGGAAUUUUCCAUUUCAGGUCGCUUCACUCCCCUGCUUCAGACCUUCCAUCGGCUGCCCAUGGCAUGCGAAUCAGAUUGCAGCAAUACAAGGCCUAUGGGCUUCUCCAUCGCUCACGCCCUGUGACGACCCAGCAGUCAACAAAGGUCUUCUCUCCUUCUCUGCAGCACAGUGAACAGUCUCUGGCCCUCCUGCCCCUCCCACCCGCUGCCCCUCAGCCUGGGAUGCAUUGUCCCUCAAUUUUUCUCAUGGCUGGCUGUCUCUUGUCAUUCUUAUCCAGCACUAGCUUUCCUUCUCUGCAGCGAGGCUUCCCCAGACCACUCAAGAUAACUGUCCAUCCCCCAUCAUCCCUUCCAGGCUCUGAAGCACAUCACCUUGGUUUUCAUUCUUCACGGUAUUUUCACACUCGGCUAUUAUUGUCUUCAUUCCUCGGUUAACUCGCUGAUUGUCUAGCUUAGAAUCUAUCCUGCUGAGGGCAGAGAUCUUGCCUGACUGUUUC
rnacentral:lncRNA from 1 species